GCGCACGUGGCGAAAUUGGUAGACGCGCAACCUUGAGGGGGUUGUUUUCGUAAGAAAGUGGAAGUUCGAAUCUUCUCGUGCGCACAA
rnacentral:tRNA from 1 species